UACGUAGGGUCCGAGCGUUGUCCGGAGUUACUGGGCGUAAAGCGCGCGCAGGCGGCUUCAUAAGUCUGGCGUGAAAGCCCCCGGCUCAACCGGGGAGGGUCGUCGGAGACUGUGGAGCUUGAGGGCGGUAGGGGCUGGUGGAAUUCCCUGUGUAGCGGUGAAAUGCGUAGAGAUGGGGGAGAACACUCGUGGCGAAGGCGGCCAGCUAGACCAGUUCUGACACUGAGGCGCGACAGCGUGGGGAGCAAACAGG
rnacentral:rRNA from 1 species